rnacentral:rRNA from 1 species
GUGUCAGCAGCCGCGGUAAUACGUAGGGGGCGAGCGUUGUCCGAAGUUACUGGGCGUAAAGCGCGCGUAGGCGGUCAUUUAAGUCUGAGGUGAAAGGUUCAGCGCUCAACGUGAACAGUGCCUUGGAUACUGGGUGACUUGAGUUCGGGAGGGGGCAGUGGAAUUCCAGGUGUAGCGGUGAAAUGCGUAGAUAUCUGGAGGAACACCGAUGGCGAAGGCAGCUGCCUGGCCCAGAACUGACGCUGAGGUGCGAAAGCGUGGGGAGCGAACGGGAUUAGAAACCCCCGUAGUCC